rnacentral:sRNA from 1 species
UACUAGUCCAGAUAGUAGUGAAAAUCCUUGUUCUUUAUUUUUUAAUAGACAACAAGAUUUUACCGGAUAGCAGGACACGAG